UUCUGCUUCUGCUUCCGUGAAUGAUAAAAUGUUGCCCAUGUUCAAGCACCAAGCCACCAAGUCCAUCAGUCUUUGCAAACUGCAAAUCAGCCGAAUGCCUUCUCAUUUGAUUUGCAAAAGAACUCAUAACUCUCUUAUUACCACCACUAGCCAGUCCCAUUUUAUUCAACAAGGGAACCUCAAUCUAACAGUAUUUGUUCUAGAGCAGGCCAGAAGUCCCAAAAUCCAAGUUUUGCCACUUAAACGAGCAACCUCUCCGACCGAGCCUGUCUCCUCAUCUAGAAAGAGUUGAUAACAAUUGAGAAGAAUGAAAACCUCAGUUCCUAACAAGGCUAUGAGAAUUGGAAACACUAUAGCUUUUUUGGCAAUAUCUGAAAUAUCUAUUACAAUUUAAAAAAUACGAAGCCUUUCAUCCACCUGGGAAUGCAUCCAAUAGAAACAAAGGCACAAUAAGAGGACAGAGAUGCAAGAAUGAUAUAAAAGAAGCGAGCUGAGAGAUAUGGGGACCUCAUACCACCAAGAAAGUAGUGCUGGGAGCAAAGUGCGUCCUUUGGACCUGAGGUCCCUGCGCUGAGAUGCUCCCAGACCAAGGGAAGACUGAUGAAGAGGACCUUCCUCCAGAGCCGACAGAGAGAGAAAGCCUUCCCCUGGAAGCAGCGCCCCGAAUUUGGACUUGUAGCCUAUUUGACUGUGAGAGAAUAAACUUCUUUUUGUUAAAGCCAUCCACUUGUGCUAUUUCUGUUAUAGCAGCACUAGAUCACUAAGACAGUCGCUUUUUUCCAUUGUAAGAGAAUCACCAUCCUUUGUUUAUAAAGAUGUAACACCGUGAGGAGACUUGGUGUGUAGGAGCCUGCAUGUACAUUCAUGUGCACAUUUCUCCUCUGAACACAGGUUUGGGAAACUUGUUUUUCUCUCUGAAAGCUUGUAAACAUCUUCUUUUUGUCCCUGUUGUUCUGGAAUUUCAUGAUGGUGUAACUUGUUGUCAGGCGCUGUGGAGUCCGUUCCUACUCAUAGCCACCCGAUGUACACUUCCAGCGCUGCAUUAGUUUGUUGAAACAUCUCAAUUGGUAUUCAGUCAAUUCCUGGAGCCUUGGGUAUAACUUGGCAUGGACCUAUUUUCAUCCAAUUUUCUGGGCACCUAAUGGGCCACACUAUCGUAACCAAUAUUCUCUAGAGUUCUUGAAUUGUUUCUUUGAUGAUUUCCUCCCUUCUCUUUUCUGUGUUUUCUUUCUGGAACUUCUAAAGCUCGGAUACCAGGCCUCCUAGACUGGUGCUCUGAUUUCCUGAUGAUUUCUCUCCCGGUUUCCAUCUUUUUGUCCUUUUUCUCUGCUUUCUGUGACAUUUCUUUAUAGCCAACCUUUCUAUUCUAAUUUUUCAUUGUUAUUGUCAUAAUUUUAAUUUCAACAGCUGUUUUAAGCAUGUGGGUAAAACGUCAUUUAUAAAGAAAAAAGGUUUGAACUUUUUAAAGAGCCUCUACACGUAAAAUAAACAACAAAGUUUUUUUUUUGAUUGAGAUUGGUUUUUGCCAUAACCAGCCUAGCUCAAGAAGGUAGUUUCAACUUCACACAAUACGCAGCUAAAACCAAGACACCUUUGUGUAAUUGCUAAAUUGUUGAUUUUAGUGACUUGCGUGGAGCUAGUCAGCUAGGAAACAUUACAUUUCGAAGCAAGGGAAAUAAGAAAGGUGUUACUUUAGAAUCAAACGAUACCAUUAGGAGGCGUACUGACAACAUGUCGGAUAGUUUAGCACUGAUCCAGAAAGCUGUCAAAUAACAAAAAUGCUUUCACUGCAGGUGGAUGGCUCUAUAGACUUUUUGUUGUUGUUAGUUGCCAUCAAGUUGCUUCCAACUCACGGCGACCCCAUGUGUACAGAGUAGAACUGCUCCAUAGGAUUUUCAAGGCUGUGACCCUACAGAAGCAGAUCGCCAGGCUUGUCUUCCUAUGUGCCUCUGGGUGGGUUCCAGCUGCCGCCCUCUCUGCUAGUAGUCAAGUGCUUAACCAUUUGCACCAUUCAGGGACGCCUCUACAGACUUUAGUAACUGUAAUAUUUACGUAGUACCAGUUAGAACCCCCAAAGCUAAAGGUCUGGAAGAACAUCCAAGUUCCAACACAAUCUGCUGGAGAUGAAAUAUUCAAAGUGGCAAUAAAUACUUUGGAAAUACAUACAAUAUUUUGGAAAUACUGUGUAAGUCUAAGCUCUGUGCAGUUCUACAUCAUUAAUUCCUUCUGGGAAACCUAAGAGCCAGGUAAUAAUAUUGUCUUAUUCUUAGAAAAGCUUUCCUAUGUAUGUAAAAAUUUGCCUGUAGAGUUGAAUUCUACAUCAAAUGAGAUUCUCAAAAAUGGUGGAUCUAAGAAAUACAAAUCUCUACAAUCUCUUCCGUUUAGGAUCAGAAUACCAUAUUUUCAUACCAAAGUGUAUGGGCUUGUCUUAGUUAUCUAGUGCUGCUAUAAUAGAAAUACCACAAGUGGGCGGC